AAGUGCUACUCCUCGAUGCGAGUAGACUCGCGCUGUGAGCCGACUGAGGGUACAAGACGUCCCAGCACACAUUACAUGUGAGGUCAAAUUCUUGUUCGCCUGGGAUCCUCAGAACAGAAGUUGGAACAAAUGGACAAAAUUGUUGAGGAACCACAUACAACACAUUCAUUCGAGUGGUACUUAGAAGGGAAGUUGCCCACGUCUGUUACCUGCAGCCAUUUAGGAACUGUUGAGGAAUCACUGAAAAGAAGUUCACAAUUUAGAGGAAUUGCAAAAAAUAAAAGAGCUUGUUGUUGUAAGAGAUGGGAAAGCUAUCAGUUCACACUUUCCACGUAGCUUUAUUAAAGAUGAGCGUUUAACUGUCAAGUAUAUCAAUACUGUAGGUAAGCCAAAGCAGCCUGGGAGUGUCUCUGUUCGUCCCUGCAGUAAGGGGUCCUCUGAUGAUCUUGUGACGUUUAGUGUGUUAUCAACGGGGGGAAAAAUAUAGUGAAAAUCAUGAGAAACCCAGCACUAAAAACACUCGUUCAGGCAAUUACUGUUUAUGCAUACAAAGGAGAAAAAGUAAAGCAAUCUCUUAGACGUGAUGGUAGUUUUCUGAAUAUUAUUUUUAAAAAGAACUGUGUGCUCUCUCACAUAGUAACUGAAGUUAACACAGAAAUGUCCAAUCUUGUAGACAAUCUUGAUGGUGCAACUUACGAAAUCAUACAGCUCAACAAGUGUUUACCAGAGAGUCUUGAGGAAGAUUACAUGUCAAAUGUGUCUCAGGGGUUUUACCCCCACGAAAACCAGAAUCCUUCACAGGAGACAACACCAAACGAGUCAGUGAAUGAAGAAGAAACCAAAGACAUUCAAAUCUUUACUAAUGGAUGAAAAGUUUAGUUAUCGAUGCUGAUAAAGAGUCUUUGUAUUAAAUGCAACGACAAAGUGUUCUCAUGUUGCAUGAUUGGUUAAAAUAUAAAUUUGGCCUUUUUUGCAUCGGGGAAACAUCAAACUUUCCUGGUGUGUCAGUAAAUUCUCCUUAACAGUGACAGAAAAGAGCAAGCUGUGCUCUAAUCAGGUAUCAAAUAAUGUAUUGUCUCAUAAGUGUCAUAUAACUUAAUGCAUGUUAAGGAAUUAUGGUCAGUACACCAGUUUAAACUAAUAUGGUGCUUGUUUCUUUGUAAGAUAUGGAAGUUAACAAUUUCUUGGUUCACGGCCGGUAAAAUGAUUUGUAAUGUUUGUAUACAUUUUCCUCUCACUUUAACCAUGUUUGUGAUGAGACAAGACAAGUGUGGUGUUGUUUUUGUGUGUAGCACAAGCUAACAAAGUCAAACUAAUUUUAUAUAUAUUUUCUUUGUAUAUUUUCCCUAUGAUUAUUACCAAAUAAUACAGCUCGUUCCAGGAAACUAAUUGGAAGUUAUGGCAAACUAUACUGAUACUAUUGAUUCUUAAAACAAUGCAUUGUGGUUUAUCUUAUAGAAUCCAGUUUCCUUUUCUUUUUCCAUCCUGAUAUCUUCCGUGCUU